AUACGUAGGUGGCAAGCGUUAUCCGGAAUUAUUGGGCGUAAAGAGUGAGCAGGCGGUUAAUUAAGUCUGAGGUUAAAGCGUGGGGCUCAACCCCAUAAAGCCUUGGAAACUGGUUGACUAGAGUACGGGAGAAGAGAAGGGAACUCCAUGUGUAGCGGUGAAAUGCGUAGAUAUAUGGAAGAACACCAGUGGCGAAGGCGCUUCACUAGCCCGAAACUGACGCUCAGUCACGAAAGCGUGGGUAGCAAAUAGGAUUAGAUACCCUAGUAGUCCACGCUGUAAACGAUGACAACUAAAUAUUGCCGCGAGGCAGUGUUGAAGCUAACGCAUUAAGUUGUCCGCCUGGGGAGUACGGUCGCAAGACUGAAACUUAAAGGAAUUGGCGGGG
rnacentral:rRNA from 1 species